UGAAGAGCUUCGGCUCUGAAUAUCUAUGGCUAGAUAAAGUACAAGUCGUAACAAGGUUUCAGUUGGAGAACCAGCUGAAGGAUCAUU
rnacentral:rRNA from 1 species